rnacentral:misc_RNA from 1 species
UUUCUGCAGGUGAACCUGCAGAAGGAUCAUUAGUGAAUUACUAGAGCGUCCUUCGGGAGCUCGAAAAACACUUUUAAACACACAACCAAACCGUGAACUGUAAAUUUUUUUAAACGUUUUAUAAAGUAAUAGCAAGGCUCCUGUGCAUACAGGCAAAUUUAAACAAAUAAAACUUUCAACAACGGAUGUCUUGGCUCUC